AUUGAACGCUGGCGGCAUGCUUUACACAUGCAAGUCGAACGGUAACAGGCCGCAAGGUGCUGACGAGUGGCGAACGGGUGAGUAAUGCAUCGGAACGUGCCCAGUCGUGGGGGAUAACUACUCGAAAGAGUAGCUAAUACCGCAUACGAUCUAUGGAUGAAAGCGGGGGACCGUAAGGCCUCGCGCGAUUGGAGCGGCCGAUGUCAGAUUAGGUAGUUGGUGGGUAAAGGCUCACCAAGCCAACGAUCUGUAGCUGGUCUGAGAGGACGACCAGCCACACUGGGACUGAGACACGGCCCAGACUCCUACGGGAGGCAGCAGUGGGGAAUUUUGGACAAAGGGCGCAAGCCUGAUCCAGCAAUGCCGCGUGCAGGAAGAAGGCCUUCGGGUUGUAAACUGCUUUUGUACGGAACGAAACGGCUCUGGUUAAUACCCGGGGCUAAUGACGGUACCGUAAGAAUAAGCACCGGCUAACUACGUG
rnacentral:rRNA from 1 species